rnacentral:rRNA from 1 species
AAAUUGAAGAGUUUGAUCAUGGCUCAGAUUGAACGCUGGCGGCAGGCCUAACACAUGCAAGUCGAGCGGUAGCACAGAGAGCUUGCUCUCGGGUGACGAGCGGCGGACGGGUGAGUAAUGUCUGGGAAACUGCCUGAUGGAGGGGGAUAACUACUGGAAACGGUAGCUAAUACCGCAUAACGUCGCAAGACCAAAGUGGGGGACCUUCGGGCCUCAUGCCAUCAGAUGUGCCCAGAUGGGAUUAGCUAGUAGGUGGGGUAACGGCUCACCUAGGCGACGAUCCCUAGCUGGUCUGAGAGGAUGACCAGCCACACUGGAACUGAGACACGGUCCAGACUCCUACGGGAGGCAGCAGUGGGGAAUAUUGCACAAUGGGCGCAAGCCUGAUGCAGCCAUGCCGCGUGUGUGAAGAAGGCCUUCGGGUUGUAAAGCACUUUCAGCGGGGAGGAAGGCGUAAGGUUAAUAACCUUGCGAUUGACGUUACCCGCAGAAGAAGCACCGGCUAACUCCGUGCCAGCAGCCGCGGUAAUACGGAGGGUGCAAGCGUUAAUCGGAAUUACUGGGCGUAAAGCGCACGCAGGCGGUCUGUCAAGUCGGAUGUGAAAUCCCCGGGCUUAACCUGGGAACUGCAUUCGAAACUGGCAGGCUAGAGUCUUGUAGAGGGGGGUAGAAUUCCAGGUGUAGCGGUGAAAUGCGUAGAGAUCUGGAGGAAUACCGGUGGCGAAGGCGGCCCCCUGGACAAAGACUGACGCUCAGGUGCGAAAGCGUGGGGAGCAAACAGGAUUAGAUACCCUGGUAGUCCACGCCGUAAACGAUGUCGAUUUGGAGGUUGUGCCCUUGAGGCGUGGCUUCCGGAGCUAACGCGUUAAAUCGACCGCCUGGGGAGUACGGCCGCAAGGUUAAAACUCAAAUGAAUUGACGGGGGCCCGCACAAGCGGUGGAGCAUGUGGUUUAAUUCGAUGCAACGCGAAGAACCUUACCUGGUCUUGACAUCCACAGAACUUUCCAGAGAUGGAUUGGUGCCUUCGGGAACUGUGAGACAGGUGCUGCAUGGCUGUCGUCAGCUCGUGUUGUGAAAUGUUGGGUUAAGUCCCGCAACGAGCGCAACCCUUAUCCUUUGUUGCCAGCGGUCGGCCGGGAACUCAAAGGAGACUGCCAGUGAUAAACUGGAGGAAGGUGGGGAUGACGUCAAGUCAUCAUGGCCCUUACGACCAGGGCUACACACGUGCUACAAUGGCAUAUACAAAGAGAAGCGACCUCGCGAGAGCAAGCGGACCUCAUAAAGUAUGUCGUAGUCCGGAUUGGAGUCUGCAACUCGACUCCAUGAAGUCGGAAUCGCUAGUAAUCGUAGAUCAGAAUGCUACGGUGAAUACGUUCCCGGGCCUUGUACACACCGCCCGUCACACCAUGGGAGUGGGUUGCAAAAGAAGUAGGUAGCUUAACCUUCGGGAGGGCGCUUACCACUUUGUGAUUCAUGACUGGGGUGAAGUCGUAACAAGGUAACCGUAGGGGAACCUGCGGUUGGAUCACCUCCUUACCUUAAAGAA